AGGUUCCAAUACUGAGAAAUACCAAGUACAGAUUUUAAAGAGUUACUUCAUUGGGAAUGGAGGUGGGAUAAAGCAAAGCCAUGGGCAGAGAGGUGUGACAGGCAUUUGUGAAGUUAGAGCAAGGGCAUGACAAAGUUUGCCCAGUGAAAAGGAGCAAAUAUGGAGGACUUAUGCAUGAGGCUGAAAUUUCUGAUAUAGAGGAGAGAGGCUGGUUUGGAGCAGAGGACUGGAGUGGAUAACCAAGUUGCUCAGAAUACCCCCAGAGCUGCCAGCAGCA
rnacentral:lncRNA from 1 species